GCUUAUGGCCCCACCUCCCUCAGCACGCCUGAUCUCGUCUGAUCUCGGAAGCUAAGCAGGGUUGGGCUUGCUUAGUACUUGGAUGGGAGACCGCCUGGGAAUACCAGGUGUGCUGUAAGCC
ensembl:rRNA 5S_rRNA 5S ribosomal RNA